CGGAGGCAGCAGUGAGGAAUCUUGCACAAUGGGGGAAACCCUGAUGCAGCGACGCCGCGUGAGCGAUGAAGCCCUUCGGGGUGUAAAGCUCUUUCGGCGGGAACGAUAAUGACGGUACCCGAAGAAGAAGCUGCGGCUAACUACGUGCCAGCAGCCGCGGUAAUACGUAGGCAGCAAGCGUUGUUCGGAGUUACUGGGCGUAAAGAGUGUGUAGGCGGUUCCCCAAGUUCGGUGUGAAAUCUCCCGGCUCAACUGGGAGGGUGCGCCGGAAACUGGGGGGCUUGAGUGUGGGAGAGGAAAGCGGAAUUCCUGGUGUAGCGGUGAAAUGCGUAGAUAUCAGGAGGAACACCUGUGGUGUAGACGGCUUUCUGGACCACGACUGACGCUGAGACACGAAAGCGUGGGGAGCAAACAGGAUUAGAUACCCCUGUAGUCCC
rnacentral:rRNA from 1 species